rnacentral:rRNA from 1 species
UACAGAGGGGGCGAGCGUUGUUCGGAAUUACUGGGCGUAAAGGGCGCGUAGGCGGCCUGCUAAGUCGGACGUGAAAUCCCUCGGCUCAACCGGGGAACUGCGUCCGAUACUGGCGGGCUUGAAUCCGGGAGAGGAAUGCGGAAUUCCAGGUGUAGCGGUGAAAUGCGUAGAUAUCUGGAGGAACACCGGUGGCGAAGGCGGCAUUCUGGACCGGCAUUGACGCUGAUGCGCGAAAGCCAGGGGAGCAAACGGG